UACGUAGGGCGCAAGCGUUGUCCGGAAUUAUUGGGCGUAAAGAGCUCGUAGGUGGCUUGUCACGUCAGGUGUGAAAGCUUGGGGCUUAACUCCAGGUCUGCAUUCGAUACGGGCUGGCUAGAGGUAGGUAGGGGAGAACGGAAUUCCUGGUGUAGCGGUGAAAUGCGCAGAUAUCAGGAGGAACACCGGUGGCGAAGGCGGUUCUCUGGGCCUUACCUGACGCUGAGGAGCGAAAGCGUGGGGAGCGAACAGG
rnacentral:rRNA from 1 species